rnacentral:rRNA from 1 species
CCUACGGGAGGCAGCAGUGGGGAAUCUUCCACAAUGGACGAAAGUCUGAUGGAGCAACGCCGCGUGAGUGAAGAAGGGUUUCGGCUCGUAAAGCUCUGUUGUCGGGGACGAACGUGCCAUUUGCGAAUAGCAGGUGGUAAUGACGGUACCUGACGAGGAAGCCACGGCUAACUACGUGCCAGCAGCCGCGGUAAUACGUAGGUGGCAAGCGUUGUCCGGAAUUAUUGGGCGUAAAGGGAGCGCAGGCGGGAAGGUAAGUCGGUCUUAAAAGUGCGGGGCUCAACCCCGUGAUGGGAUCGAAACUAUCUUUCUUGAGUGCAGGAGAGGAAAGUGGAAUUCCUAGUGUAGCGGUGAAAUGCGUAGAUAUUAGGAGGAACACCAGUGGCGAAGGCGACUUUCUGGACUGUAACUGACGCUGAGGCUCGAAAGCCAGGGGAGCGAACGGGAUUAGAUACCCCUGUAGUC